UUUAAAUCUUCAUAAACAUGAUAAUGGAGGCAUAAUAUUGAGUCAGGAACAUGUGUGACAUUGUUAACGAUUUCCUUACUAUUUAGACAUUAAAUAUAGGGCGCUCCUUAUAACUUUUCCAUCCUAAAACUAAAGCUAUUCAAGGAGGGGAGAGUGGCUCAAGAAGCAAAGUGAUACACAAAUAUAUAUAUAUAUAAAUAAUUAUGGCUAAUUUGCAUUGUUGUAGGGAAAGCAACACAAAAUGGUAAAACAAUUUCCCACCAAUUAAAAAAAAUUUUUAAGAAAGAUACUACAGCUAUUUGAAUGCCUUUUGUAUGCAAAGACAUAUUUCCACACUACUUUUUCACUUUUUUAGUAGAAUUCUAUAAUUGGAAUGACAAGAGGUUUAUUGACAUCUUGAAAAAAUUGCUUUCUAGAAACAUAUCCAUUUAUUUAUGUGUGUACUGCUCACCUUCAUUUAAUUGCCAUAUUUUGAAAAAAAAAAUUAAUGUAGAAGGAAUUGUUAUAUUUUUUGCUUGUGAGACCAAUGUUUUAUGUUUUUGUGUUUUUAUUCAUUAUGGAAUGACCUGUGUGUCCUCAGAUUGAUAUUCUAUAAAGACUUAAAGGGAUCAUCAGGCAACUGCGAAACUUUCUGAGUAGCUCCCUCCUUUUUAAUACCCUGCCACACAGAUGAUAGGCCUCCCAACUCACCAGUGUUCUCAAUUCAGAGUUUAGCAGGAAUGUUUAUGGGCCCCUUGCCCUGUAGUUGCAGCGUGAAAACUGCCUGAAGGCAGAGAGCUGCGGAGUCGUCAGGUUGACAUGUGUGUUCAGCUUCACUCCAGGAACCUAGCCCUGGAACCCUAACACUGCCUGCUGUUCAGGGUGUGAGAACAGUUGUUUAAUGUAUUUUGUUCAACUUUCUAAUUCCCAAUUGUAGGUGAGGAAGUCUAGACACUGUUCCUCUUAUUGUUGCAGGAAGGGAACCCUUUCCAGGGCCCUAGAGUGGGCUCACAAUGCUGACAAAGCCAGAGACUUGAUUGGGAAGAGGUAACCAGGAGGAUAGCAGCAGGAUGUGGGAAGAAGCAACAAGAGGGAAUAUUCUCCUGGGCCAAGAGUCUAGUGAGACAGGUAUGGUCCAGAGACUUGCUACUUGCAAGGUCUGGUCUAGUAACAGCACAGAGUGGCCUGUCAAUGGAAUCUUCAUUAGACCUGGCACACAAAGGCCAUGAAAUGCCCCCAAAGCAUGGUCAAAUAUGUGGCUGUGAAGAGACCAUGUUGACUGGAAGUUGGCACUUACCUGCUGUCUCUACAAAGAUUUCAUCAUGACCACUGCAAGCUGCUGACCUUCAACCCCCCUUGAAAGGAGUUCAGGAUGGAGAUAAGAAAUAAGGCACUCUGUGCUCUGGGAAAAACCCAGAAGAACUGGCCUUCGGAGAGUCAGAUACUUUCAGAAUACAACAAAUCUCCAAGUGAUAGUUUGACAAGAAUAUUCCUGGCCAACACCCAGACAAUGCUGAAACAAGCCGCCUUAUCAUUCCAUGGACUCUCAUCUCCCUCCAUAAAGGCACAACACCCCUGUACAGCCUGAAGAAGUCAGAGUGGUCAUCGCCCCUUUUCCCCUGAGACUGGCUUCCCAAAUGCCUGAGAAGGGAAAUAGUUAGAUAGUUAGACGUGAGCAGGGUAUCAAAAGGGGCCAAAGAAUUGGCCCUAAAAAUAAAGAGAGGGAUGAAAGUAGUGACCCAAGGACCAAAGAGCAGAUAAAACCAAGGGGGAACGGAAUGCAGGAAUGGAAAACCAGACCCUUCUCAUCCUUCCCUCCCCCAUGUUGUAACUAUUAACAGAUUUCAGGUCCUCCUGAGCAAUAUAACCUGUCUCCCCACCUACCCCAUAGGGAGAAGGUCUUUGCCUUACUCUCCGCCCUCCCCCUUCCCCCCAGGAGAUGUGCCUCUUCCAAUCAGCAAAUGACCGGCAAGACCCCUAUCCUGCUCCCUCUACCCUGGGUAUAAAAUUGGACUAAGGACCCCUGUUCAACGAUGGUUCUCUCUUGAGCUGGCCCACAGCUCUAAUGGUGUCACCCACUCUAAUAAACUUCAUUUCCCUCUCACUCUGUCUCAUGUCAGGAAAUUCUUUUCCAACCGGGGCCCAGACCAUGACAAUUUUCCUUACUGUUGUUACAAAAUACUGAUUAAAUUUUCCUAUCUAAAAUA